CGGUAAUUCCAGCUCCAAUAGCGUAUACUAAAGUUGUUGCAGUUAAAAAGCUCGUAGUUGGAUUUCUGCGGGGACGGAGCGGCCGGUCGCAACUUGCGACUCGAGCUAGCGCUUUCCCCGCAUCCUGCCGCGAACCGUGCUACCAUUAGUUUGGUGGCGCUGGGGAUCGGCUCGAUUACUUUGAGAAAAAUAGAGUGUUCAAAGCAGGCCACACGCCUUGAAUAAGUUAGCAUGGAAUAAUGACUAAGGACUUUGGUUCUUUUCGUUGGUGUUCGGGACUGAAGUAAUGAUUGAUAGGGACAGUUGGGGCGGUCCGUAUUCCAAAGCGAGAGGUGAAAUUCUUAGACCUUCGGAAGACGAACAGCUGCGAAAGCGUUCCGCAAGGAUGUUCCCUUUGAUCAAGAACGAAAGUUGGGGGAUCGAAGACGAUCAGAUACCGUCGUAGUCUCAACUAUAAACUAUACCAGCUAGGGAUCGGCCAACGUUUAAUUAUUCGACUUGGUCGGCACCUUAUGAGAAAUCAAAGCAUCUGGGUUCCGGGGGGAGUAUGGUCGCAAGGCUGAAACUUAAAGGAAUUGACGGAAGGGCACCACCAGCCGUGGAGCCUGUGGCUUAAUUUGACUCAACACGGGAAAACUUACCAGGUCCGGACAUAGUAAGGAUUGACAGAUUGAUAGCUCUUUCUCGAUUCUGUGGGUGGUGGUGCAUGGCCGUUUUUAGUCGGUGGAUGUGAUCUGUCUGCUUAAUUGCGUUAACGGACGAGACCCCAGCCUGCUAAAUAGCGCGGCCGAGCUUUGCUCGGUGCGAGCUUCUUAGAGGGACCAUGAUGCGCGAUAGCACAAGGAAGUUUGGGGCAACAACAGGUCUGUGAUGCCCUUAGAUGUUCUGGGCCGCACACGGGCUACACUGGCGCCUGCAACGAGCAUAUCAGCUGGCCCGAGAGGGUCUUGGCUAAUCUUUGGAACCGGCGCCGUGCUUGGGAUUGACCAUUGCAAUUGUUGGUCAUGCAACGAGGAAUGCCUUGUAAACGCGAGUCAUCAGCUCGCAUUGAAUACGUCCCUGCCCUUUGUACACACCGCCCGUCGCUCCUACCGAUGAAUGUUCCGAUGAAAUUUUCGGAGAGCGCCGGAGAACGGGGCUCCGCCCUGCCGAACUGGAGGCUCAAAGUCACUUAAAUCUGAACAUUUCGAGGAAGGAGAAGUCGUAACAAGGUAGCCG
rnacentral:rRNA from 1 species